AUGCACGCUGGCGGCGUGCCUAAUACAUGCCAGUCGAGCGAACAGAUGAGGAGCUUGCUCCUCUGACGUUAGCGGCGGACGGGUGAGUAACACGUGGAUAACCUACCUAUAAGACUGGGAUAACUUCGGGAAACCGGAGCUAAUACCGGAUAAUAUAUUGAACCGCAUGGUUCAAUAGUGAAAGACGGUUUUGCUGUCCCUUAUAGAUGGAUCCGCGCCGCAUUAGCUAGUUGGUAAGGUAACGGCUUACCAAGGCAACGAUGCGUAGCCGACCUGAGAGGGUGAUCGGCCACACUGGAACUGAGACACGGUCCAGACUCCUACGGGAGGCAGCAGUAGGGAAUCUUCCGCAAUGGGCGAAAGCCUGACGGAGCAACGCCGCGUGAGUGAUGAAGGUCUUCGGAUCGUAAAACUCUGUUAUUAGGGAAGAACAAAUGUGUAAGUAACUAUGCACGGCUUGACGGUACCUAAUCAGAAAGCCACGGCUAACUACGUG
rnacentral:rRNA from 1 species